rnacentral:lncRNA from 1 species
GGACCUAGGAGACCUCUAAUACUCAGCUGCUACUACUACUAAUGCGAGUAGACUUUGGGUUGUCUAGUUAUUGCAGUCGGUUUUGGUUGCUAAAAAAACACCAGUCUUCUCAUGAAAAAUUUAUAGUUUCUCAUGUUGUGGUUAUUAUGCUGAGCAGGGGAGUCAUCACAAAGCAGGCGUCAUGCGGUCGAGAAUUAAAAGAUGGCAUGCAAUUAAUUAAUCACUCUUACUCUCACUCUGUUUUACCCUUGCAUCUGCUAUGUAUGCUUUCAACAUUUCUAAUGUCCGCGUUUCUUGGCUUGGCUAUUCCCUCUUCCAAACAUCAAAAACAUGGUGAUUAACAUUUACUUGGAUAAUUGAGCAUCCUUUCACUCGCAUACCAAUACCAAAAACUGGAUUAAACAAAACAAUAAUGUUACAUGCACCAAAAGAUAUCCCCAUUUUCUAUAUGAAUUUGUGAAUCAAAUAGUAUGUAAAUCCGCAGUCUGUCCGCUACCAUCAACAAUGGUGUCUUAAGUCAUUCAAGUCUUCAAGUUGUUGCACAAUGGCAGUCAUAGUUCCAGAGGUAAAUAUCCACUGUCUUUGGCAUAAUNGCAUAACAAUGUGUAUGGAAUAUCAUUUGUCUCCGUUUGAGGUGUUCACAGAUUCAUGCCUUGCUACGCGCAUCAUUUGUCUCCGUUUGAGGUGUUCACAGAUUCAUGCCUUGCUACGCGCCUCUUAACUAAUCCGGAUGAGGACGAGGAUCUUAUCCCGGAUGAUAUUCGGGUGUUUUUUGAGGCUAUGAUAUCACACCUCCUUAUUGGGGUUUUCCACUCUUAUAGAGACGCCAACUUGGCUGCUCAUAGUUUGGCUCGUUUUAGUAAUAGUUGUGCGCAGCCUCACCUUUGGGUGGACAUUCCGCAAUGGUUGCUUGAUAUUGUAAGUGAAGACAUUGCUACUUAUUUUUACCCUUGCAGGACAUUCUAGGUCGUUUGGCUUGUAUGUACCCAAUCUACAACAUAAAAAGUGAUUAUAUUAUUAACAUUUACUUGUUAUUGAGCAUCCUUUUCACUCGCAUACCAAUACCAAAAACUGGGUUAAACAAAACAAUAAUGUUACAUGCACCAAAAGAUAUCCCCAUUUUCUAUAUGAAUUUGUGAAUCAAAUAGAAUGUAAAUCCGCAGUCUGUCCGCCAUCUUCAACAAUGGUGUCUUAAGUCAUUCAAGUCUUCAAGUUGUUGUCAUAGUUCCAGAGGUAAAUAUCCACUGUCUUUGGCAUAAUAUAGUGCUACUGCUAGUAAAAUGAAUAACAAAAUGAUCCACAAGCCUGCAAAUCAUAACAAGUGAAGUAAGUAAAAACAAUCAAAUAUCUAGAAACUGAUAAGUAGAAUCUCUCAACUUU